UAGUCAUAUGCUUGUCUUAAAGAUUAAGCCAUGCAUGUCUAAGUAUAAGUAUUAUACAGCGAAACUGCGAAUGGCUCAUUAAAACAGUUAUAGUUUAUUCGAUUAUUUUCACCUACAUGGAUAACCGUAGUAAUUCUAGAGCUAAUACAUGCUGUCAAACCUGACUUUUGUGGAAGGGUUGUAUUUAUUAGAUAUUAAACCAAUACUCGCAAGAGGAUUGUGAUGAUUCAUAAUAACUGAGCGGACCGCGGCCUUGCCGUGGCGAAUCGUUCAAGUUU
rnacentral:rRNA from 1 species